rnacentral:rRNA from 1 species
AGAGUUUGAUCCUGGCUCAGAUUGAACGCUGGCGGCAUGCUUUACACAUGCAAGUCGGACGGCAGCACAGAGAAGCCUGCUUCUUGGGUGGCGAGUGGCGAACGGGUGAGUAACAUAUCGGAACGUACCGAGUAAUGGGGGAUAACUAAUCGAAAGAUUAGCUAAUACCGCAUAUUCUCUGAGGAGGAAAGCAGGGGACCUUCGGGCCUUGCGUUAUUCGAGCGGCCGAUAUCUGAUUAGCUAGUUGGUGGGGUAAAGGCCUACCAAGGCGACGAUCAGUAGCGGGUCUGAGAGGAUGAUCCGCCACACUGGGACUGAGAUACGGCCCAGACUCCUACGGGAGGCAGCAGUGGGGAAUUUUGGACAAUGGGCGCAAGCCUGAUCCAGCCAUGCCGCGUGUCUGAAGAAGGCCUUCGGGUUGUAAGGGACUUUUGUCAGGGAAGAAAAGGCUGUCGCUAAUACCGACAGUUGAUGACGGUACCUGAAGAAUAAGCACCGGCUAACUACGUGCCAGCAGCCGCGGUAAUACGUAGGGUGCGAGCGUUAAUCGGAAUUACUGGGCGUAAAGCGAGCGCAGACGGUUACUUAAGCAGGAUGUGAAAUCCCCGGGCUUAACCUGGGAACUGCGUUCUGAACUGGGUGACUAGAGUGUGUCAGAGGGAGGUAGAAUUCCACGUGUAGCAGUGAAAUGCGUAGAGAUGUGGAGGAAUACCGAUGGCGAAGGCAGCCUCCUGGGAUGACACUGACGUUCAUGCUCGAAAGCGUGGGUAGCAAACAGGAUUAGAUACCCUGGUAGUCCACGCCCUAAA